GAAAACUAGUACAAAGUAUAGGGGCGUCCAUCUGUAUUAUUUUUUUAUAACUGCAUGGGAGUCCACAAUUAUCUUAAAGCAAAAAGUUAACUUAAAAAAAACACCAGCUUCACAGGCUUUAUGUGAGGAUCAAACGAGAUGAUAUUUAGGGAAGAAAAGUCACUCAUCUAAUGUUUAUUGAUGGCUCUCACCUGUCCAGACGGUGUGAAUGCUGAGCGUAUAGCAGGGAGCGAGGUUUGCACUAUAGCAGAAAUUUUAUUCUGGUAUAGUGUCACGCAAAAGCAAAUUGAUACUUUUUAAAUUUGUAAUUGAAAUUGGUUUAAUCACAACCACUCAGAACAGUACCAUGCAUCCUGUCCCGUCAUGUAAUGAAAAUAUACUCAGAGAGAUGGCAAGAUAUGCCCAGGUACCAGGUAGAACCGGAGGCAGAAAUCAAACCCAGAAUGGAACCCAGGUUGUGGCUCAUCACCUCUCAAUUCAGUGCCUUCAACAAAGGAGCUCUCUUCUCUUUGCAGGGUAACCCAGAGAAGACAGCCGAAGUAGAAUGUGGGCACAUCUGCUACACCAGGGACAGAGCAACUGUGGGUGAAGAGGGCGACGUCUGGUUCCUGGGGAGGAGUCCUGCCACUAUCAAUGACUGGGUGAUGAAGGCGUUUAUUGUCCUGACCCUACAGUUUCUGUCCCAUGACAAGGACCAGCUGAUCAAGGAGCUGCAGCAGCAUGUAACGUGAGUGACAGCCCCAUCCAAGUACCUGAGGAAGCAUCGUUUCAGGAUGAGUAUUUCAUGUCAAGUGUAUUCAAGGAAGAGUGUAAAGGAUCCAUGGCCUCAGUCACCAUGAAGACCCUCCCAAGAGCCAGCCCUACUGGGCACGUAUAAAUGAGUGGAGACAUGGAACCCACCCUUACAAGGCCUAAACCUGACAGAGCACACAAGACAGAAGCCCAGAUAACCAGGAGCAGGAAGCUGAAGGCGAGAGGUGGGCCCCAGAGGAAAAUGCUUUGUGUUUGUGGAUUUAUCACGCAGAAUGAAACCUUAGUUCUUAGUU
ensembl:lincRNA